UGGGGAAUAUUGGACAAUGGGCGCAAGCCUGAUCCAGCCAUGCCGCGUGAGUGACGAAGGCCUUAGGGUUGUAAAGCUCUUUUGGCGGGGAAGAUAAUGACGGUACCCGCAGAAUAAGCUCCGGCUAACUUCGUGCCAGCAGCCGCGGUAAUACGAAGGGAGCUAGCGUUGUUCGGAAUCACUGGGCGUAAAGCGCACGUAGGUGGGCAGUUAAGUCAGGGGUGAAAGCCCGAGGCUCAACCUCGGAAUUGCCUCUGAUACUGGCUGUCUAGAGUUCGAGAGAGGUGAGUGGAAUUCCUAGUGUAGAGGUGAAAUUCGUAGAUACUGGGAGGAACAUCUGAGGCGAAGGCGACUAUCUGGAUCACAACUGACGCUGAGGUACGAAAGCAUGGGUAGCAAACAGGAUUAGAUACCCCCGUAGUCCCUGAGCGGGCUGGCAAGGCGCAU
rnacentral:rRNA from 1 species